CAACGGUGUGUGUAAACCAACAGAAGGUGCCUACGGACCCACGUACGAGUGUCUGUGCACUUACGGAUAUGACGGAUACAAGUGCGAGGAUGAUAUUGACCCUUGUGAGCACAACCCGUGCGACAACGGAGGUGUGUGCCAAAUCAACCGCCAGUACCGGCACAGUGGAUAUGAGCCGGAAACCACCUGUGUCUGCCCCUGCACCCAUCUAGGAGACAGUUGCGAGAUAGAGAUCAAGCCGUGCGAACCGAAUCCAUGCAAAAACGGCGGCGUGUGCAGGAAAGCUGGAGGACACUGCAAUCACACGACGUUUGCGUGUGACUGUCCCUACGGUCUGAAGGGCGACGUGUGCGAACUCGGUUAUGGACACCCAAAGCACUAAAACCACGAUGUUUGAAGCGGACGAUGAAAGAGCAAAUUCAAGAUUAAAGGCAUGACCACAAACGGAGAAGCAGUCCGUUAAUGAUUUUCUGCAACGCGGUGUCGGUAAAUACCCCACGAUGUUUGAAGCACGGAAUGAAAGGCCAAAGCUAAGAUUAAAAGGAUGACUGUGAAUAUACAAAAUCGUAUGCGCUUGCAUAAAACAUUUGUUGUCAAGCCACAGAAUUCUAUAUGCAUUGAAACUCCAACGCCAUUUAUAUGAAAUCAGAGAAGAUUUUCUCUUGCUUUGUGCAGAAAAUGUUGAAUGAGACUAAAAAAUAUACGGUGUGCAAUAGCAACCGCGUACACAAUAUUAGAUGCUAAAAUAUACAUAAAAUCAGGAGUGGAUAAUAGAGUCUCUAUUAUCCACUCCUGAUAAAAUAUUACUCUUAUGUAUCUUACUCUUGACAAUGUGCUCAGUAAGGCUAUGCCCGUUUUUGACACAUAAUAUCGGUUUAUAUAUUAUAUAUGUAUCAUUUAUCUUAUAUAGUUGUUUCCCGUAAAUUUAGUUACUGUAAUUAGUUUGUCAUAGUUCGUGGCGCUAGACUACACGCCGUUGAACCGUUACUGUAUGCGCUACAUUUAAAAGAUUAUUUAAAAAAGUUCAAUUUCCUAAUAAUAAUUAUAUAUAGGCCUACUAUGCCAUAAUAAUUUUUAAAUAUUUGUAACAUUAUAUUUAGUGGGCAGUUAGAAAUAAAUAAAUAUAAUCCGUUUAGCAA